rnacentral:lncRNA from 1 species
UCCAAAGUCGGCAAUAGCUGGAAGUCCGGAAAUAAGAAGCAAUGAUGCAAGGGAUCAUAGAACUGAGCCAAGGUACUCAUCAAUCCUUCGUCAACCUGGGUGGUGAGCAGAGGCAGAAGCUUCCCAUAACGAGCUUUGAAACCCAAGGGAUCUAAUACAUACGAUGUCAGAUUCCUUAACUCUUUUACAUUGGGCUGCCUGAAGCUGUACUUCUUUGUAUGCCUCUUUGGUCUUUCCAUGUCUGAAAAUUUUGC